UUGUUGGGCAAUCUCUCUUUAAACAGGUAUAAAUUACUGUAAAAGAAAUGAAUCCUAGAUGGUUUUUGCUUCAAGGGAAGUGUCUUGU
rnacentral:pre_miRNA from 1 species